rnacentral:misc_RNA from 1 species
GAUGAAGAACGUAGUGAAAUGCGAUAAGUAGUGUGAAUUGCAGAAUUCAGUGAAUCAUCGAAUCUUUGAACGCACAUUGCGCCCCUUGGUAUUCCAUGGGGCAUGCCUGUUCGAGCGUCAUUUGUACCUUCAAGCUUUGCUUGGUGUUGGGUGUUUGUCCAUUCUCUUGCAGAGGGACUCGCCUUAAAGUAAUUGGCAGCCAGUGUUUUGGUUUUGAAGCGCAGCACAAGUCGCGAUUCAAAGCUAUACGCCCGCUUCCACAAGCCUUUUUCACUUUUGACCUCGGAUCAGGUAGGGAUACCCGCUGAACUUAAGCAUAUCAAUAAGCGGAGGA